rnacentral:misc_RNA from 1 species
UUUCUUCUCUAUUACACUAUAUCAUUUUAUGCUGGUAGUUUACCAUCUUGGUCAUUUCAUAUAUGCCGUUAUUUGUAAGCAUUUAUCUUGCUGUGGAUUGAGGGUUCGGGCUAGAAUUUAAUUUGGUGGCUUCUGACCUGUUACUUCUCCUGUUAUGUUUAACUUUGAAAUGCUUUCAAACAAUUUGGCUUGUGAGCUAUAAAUUAAUCUGACUUUUUUCGUUCUGGGUCUGAUUACUGAGCCGGGAGGGAAAAUAAAGAAAGAAUCUCAGCACCGAUUAAGCUCAUUUUUACUACUGCUUCCGUUGGUACAGCCAGAGAGGAACUUAAACAUUGUCUCCCGAUCUAUCGUUUCAAGAUGGAAUUGAACUGCUAGGACAAUUUGAAUGAUUACGUUCAUCAUUCAAAUGGUAAAAUUCCAUUGCAAAAUGCAGAGCCUAAUUCUAGAAUGCUCUACUUAAUAUUUUCCAAUAAAUGUUGUAUUUGAAAUUUUAGAUUUGAUUAAAAAUAAGGAGUAACCACCACCCUCUUGUUAGAGUUUAAAUGUGAGGUGUGAGAAAGUGGUAUAAAAUUGUGGAAUAAAACUGUUGUGUGGAUAAAUGGUGCAUAAGAUCAUGUGAGGUGCUUGCUUUAGCGGUAUUAUGCUGCAAAUUUAUUGUAUUUGAUAACUUGUAUCAUUGAAUCAGCAUGUUCAAGCUAAUGCUCAUUACGAGCGAAUGUUCACUUCUCUCAUUUAAUGUGGAAUUAGGGUUUAAAAAUAGAAUGAAAUAUCUUUAGUUUUUCUAAGUGGUAAUUUGGGCUUGGGUGCAGGUGAGUUUGAGCGAGUAGCAGGACACACAUCAAAAGUAAAAGUGCACACAUAUGGCACACAGUUUGUUAUUACUGGAUUCAACUAUUUGUUUUUGUGCCACUGGUGCUGAAAUUUGCAUAUUUUGUUAUGUAUAAAGGUACAGGUGAUUUGGGCGAGCGACCCAGUUUCACAAUGGAGGGGAGGAG